GAUGAAGAACGCAGCGAAAUGCGAUAACUAAUGUGAAUUGCAGAAUUCAGUGAAUCAUCGAGUCUUUGAACGCACAUUGCGCCCCCUGGUAUUCCGGGGGGCAUGCCUGUCCGAGCGUCAUUGCUGCCCUCAAGCACGGCUUGUGUGUUGGGCUCCGUCCCCCCGGGGACGGGCCCGAAAGGCAGCGGCGGCACCGAGUCCGGUCCUCGAGCGUAUGGGGCUUUGUCACCCGCUCUGUAGGCCCGGCCGGCGCCAGCCGACAACCCAUCAUCCUUUUCAGGUUGACCUCGGAUCAUGUAGGGAUACCCGCUGAACUUAAGCAUAUCAAUAAGCGGAGGA
rnacentral:misc_RNA from 1 species